rnacentral:rRNA from 1 species
GGGGAAUAUUGCACAAUGGGGGAAACCCUGAUGCAGCAACGCCGCGUGGAGGAUGACACAUUUCGGUGCGUAAACUCCUUUUAUAUAAGAAGAUAAUGACGGUAUUAUAUGAAUAAGCACCGGCUAACUCCGUGCCAGCAGCCGCGGUAAUACGGAGGGUGCAAGCGUUACUCGGAAUCACUGGGCGUAAAGAGCGUGUAGGCGGAUUGAUAAGUUUGAAGUGAAAUCCUAUAGCUUAACUAUAGAACUGCUUUGAAAACUGUUAAUCUAGAAUGUGGGAGAGGUAGAUGGAAUUUCUGGUGUAGGGGUAAAAUCCGUAGAGAUCAGAAGGAAUACCGAUUGCGAAGGCGAUCUACUGGAACAAGAGUGACGCUGAGACGCGAAAGCGUGGGGAGCAAAC